rnacentral:rRNA from 1 species
GAGGAGCCCGCCUAGAGUAUUGCCCGGACGCGGGGGAUAACCAUUGGAAACGAUGGCUAAUACCGCAUGAUGCCUACGGGCCAAAGAGGGGGACCUUCGGGCCUCUCGCGUCAGGAUAUGCCUAGGUGGGAUUAGCUAGUUGGUGAGGUAAGGGCUCACCAAGGCGACGAUCCCUAGCUGGUCUGAGAGGAUGAUCAGCCACACUGGAACUGAGACACGGUCCAGACUCCUACGGGAGGCAGCAGUGGGGAAUAUUGCACAAUGGGCGCAAGCCUGAUGCAGCCAUGCCGCGUGUGUGAAGAAGGCCUUCGGGUUGUAAAGCACUUUCAGUCGUGAGGAAGGUAGUGUAGUUAAUAGCUGCAUUAUUUGACGUUAGCGACAGAAGAAGCACCGGCUAACUCCGUGCCAGCAGCCGCGGUAAUACGGAGGGUGCGAGCGUUAAUCGGAAUUACUGGGCGUAAAGCGCAUGCAGGUGGUUUGUUAAGUUAGAUGUGAAAGCCCGGGGCUCAACCUCGGAAUAGCAUUUGAAACUGGCAGACUAGAGUACUGUAGAGGGGGGUAGAAUUUCAGGUGUAGCGGUGAAAUGCGUAGAGAUCUGAAGGAAUACCGGUGGCGAAGGCGGCCCCCUGGACAGAUACUGACACUCAGAUGCGAAAGCGUGGGGAGCAAACAGGAUUAGAUACCCUGGUAGUCCACGCCGUAAACGAUGUCUACUUGGAGGUUGUGGCCUUGAGCCGUGGCUUUCGGAGCUAACGCGUUAAGUAGACCGCCUGGGGAGUACGGUCGCAAGAUUAAAACUCAAAUGAAUUGACGGGGGCCCGCACAAGCGGUGGAGCAUGUGGUUUAAUUCGAUGCAACGCGAAGAACCUUACCUACUCUUGACAUCCAGAGAACUUUCCAGAGAUGGAUUGGUGCCUUCGGGAACUCUGAGACAGGUGCUGCAUGGCUGUCGUCAGCUCGUGUUGUGAAAUGUUGGGUUAAGUCCCGCAACGAGCGCAACCCUUAUCCUUGUUUGCCAGCGAGUAAUGUCGGGAACUCCAGGGAGACUGCCGGUGAUAAACCGGAGGAAGGUGGGGACGACGUCAAGUCAUCAUGGCCCUUACGAGUAGGGCUACACACGUGCUACAAUGGCGCAUACAGAGGGCGGCCAACUUGCGAAAGUGAGCGAAUCCCAAAAAGUGCGUCGUAGUCCGGAUUGGAGUCUGCAACUCGACUCCAUGAAGUCGGAAUCGCUUGUAAUCGUGGAUCAGAAUGUCGCGAUGAAUAUCGUUCCUAGAGCGUUAUACACUCCCCCCGUAUCUUCGCUACACAGAUGAGUCUCUGAUGAGUUGUACCCCCAGAGG